UACGUAGGGUGCGAGCGUUGUCCGGAAUUAUUGGGCGUAAAGAGCUUGUAGGCGGUUUGUCGCGUCUGCCGUGAAAGCCCAGGGCUUAACCCUGGGUCUGCGGUGGGUACGGGCAGACUAGAGUGUGGUAGGGGAGACUGGAAUUCCUGGUGUAGCGGUGAAAUGCGCAGAUAUCAGGAGGAACACCGAUGGCGAAGGCAGGUCUCUGGGCCACUACUGACGCUGAGGCACGAAAGCGUGGGGAUCAAACAGG
rnacentral:rRNA from 1 species